rnacentral:lncRNA from 1 species
GUGAAAUUACAAACUAAUCUGCUACUGCAAUAGGCAAAAUUCUUUUAAAAAUUACAUAAACUUAAAACGUAAAAUCUGUGAAGAUUACCCUCUAACAUAGAAAUAUAACUACUAAGGGUUUGGCUAACUCUGUCAUUUGAUAAUUUUAAAACCUUAAAAGUUAAAAAUGAUUAAUCACUAGGGAAUCAAUUAUGCCAUUUCAAGAGAAUUUUAGAUUCAAUUUCCAAGCUAAAUUUUUUUGGCUUCAUGGCUCAGUUGGCUGAGCUUGCAUGGCAACUGGAUAUCUGGACAAGAUUUGAGAAUUUAAAAUUGCAGUUUUUAUCCAUGUUCCCACCUGCCUCGCAGAGUCCCUUUCAUUUCAUAGUUGCUCUGUAAAUGGGGAGCUCUCUUACCCCAUCUCUCCUGUAUUAAACAUACACAUCCCUACAUCUCUAAUCUGUUGAAAUACCCAGUUAGGUUUCUUCAAUCAUCCAUAUGAGUUUUUAAUUUUAUUAGUUUACACAGUUGGAACAUUAAUUUCUCCCUUCCAAAAUUUUUUGUGUGUCUACUGUGCAUCAGUCAUUGUUACAGGCAUUUGGGGACAUUGUUGAACAAGACAUAAAAUCCUUGCCUUGUAGAACAUACACAUUAGCAGAAGGAAAGAGACACUAAAUGACAAGGUGACCAAGUAAGUAAAAUGUUUAAUAGGCACACAUAAAUAAAUUAUUUGGUAUGUUAAGAGGGGAUAAAUGUUAAUGGAUAAAGAAAAAAUAGAGCAAGAUAAAGGAUUGUGAGUUCUAUGAAGAAGAGAUUUUCAGGAUGCAAAAUUAUAUAACAUGGUCAGGAAGGGUCUCCUUAGCAGAUGAUACUGAGGAAGGGUUUGAAGUAGUUGAAGGAGUUAAGUAAGUGAAUAUUAAGAGAAGAGUGGUCCAGGCAGUGGGUACAGAUAGAGCCAAUGACCUAAGUCUAAAGCAUGCCUGUUGUUUUUGAUGGACAGAGAUGAUUGUGAGUGACUAAAAAUGUACCAGGGGAGAGAUGAGGUCAAAAAGCUAAAAGGACCUUAGAGGUGAUUUUGUAAGGACUAUGUUUUUAUGUCCCAAGAUGUGAGGAACCAUUGCUGAGUUUUGACUAGAACAAUGACAAUGAUCAGACUUUGGUUUCUUAGAAAUCCCUGUGGCUUCUGAAUAGACAGAGAAUAGAAUAUGAAUGGCUGGCAAGGCAAAAGCAGGGAGACAUGCUAGGAAUCUAUGGCAGUUAUCCAGACAAGAAAGAAUGAUUGCAAAGUGCAGAAGGGAAGCAGUGGACAUGGUGGGAAUUAUGGAUAUAUUUUGAUCAUUAAGUCCACAGAAUUUCCUUUUAGAUUGAAUGUGGGAUGUGAGAGAAGGGAAGGAGUCAAGAUGGCACCAAGUGUUUUUGGCUUGAGAAAAUGGAAAAUUGGAUUGCCAUUAAGUAGGACUGGGAGUACCUAGAUUACAAUUUAGUACAUGUUCAGUAUGAGCUUCCUAUAGGACAUGCAAAUGAAGAUGUCAAAUCAACAGUUGGAUAUAUUUCUGGAGUUCAGGAAAGAGAUCUGGACCGGAGCUACAAAUUCUGGAAAGUUAGCAUAUGGAUGGCAUUUUAAUCCACAAGAUUUUAUGGCUUCGAGAAGAAAUUAAGAGGGUCAAAGACAGAUACAUGGAGAAAUCCAACAUAGAGUGGUUAGGGAGAGGAAGACAAAUAAGCAAAAGAUACCCUUCCCAAGCCAACAAUGAUAUAGGAAGAAAACCAAAAAGUUUUGGUAUCCUGGAAGCCAAGUAAAGGAAGUUUGUCUAGGAGAAAGGAAUGAUCAUCUGGGCCAAAUGAUGCUAAUAGUCUCGUAAGAUAUGGGCCAAGUAAGUGGGGACAAACUGACUUGGAUUUAGACAUGUGGAGGACCUUGACAACCUUUAUGAGAGCAAUUUCAGUGAACUGAUGUAGGUGAAAACCUUAUUGGAGGUGGCAAAAGUAAAAGAAGAGAAGACAUGGAGACAGUAAAUAUAGAAACUUACAGAAACGUUUGCUGUAAAAGAGAGAUGAAAUGUAGUAAAUGGCAGAGGUGUGUGGUCAACAGCAGAUUUACUUAAAGUGAGAAACAAUGUAGUGUGUUUGUAUGCUGAUGGGAAUUAACUGAUAUAGAGGAAAAGCAAUUGAUUACAUAAGAUUGAGAACACAGAAUUGCUGAUCUGAUACCAUGUCUCUGAGUAUACAAGAGAAUACAGGUUCAAUGAGCAAGCGUGGGGAUCAGCAUUAGAUAGGAGCAUGGAUAGUUCAUCUAUAGAAUAGACUAGAAGGAAGAAUGCAGGGUUUCGAUGUUGAUCAAUGCGUGGAAGAGGUGGUGCAAGUGGUGCAAGUUUGUGAGUGUUUCUGUUUCUUUACUGAAGUUGGAAUCAAGGUUAUUCUUAUGGACUGAAUGUUUGUGUUCCCCCAAAAUCCAUAUGUUGAAGUCCUAACCUUCAAUGUGAUAGUGUUUAGAGAUGAGGCCUUUGGGAGUUAAUUAAGGUUAAUGAGGCCAAUAAAUAAAUAAGGUCGUAAGGGUGGGUUCUAAUAUGAUAGGAAGAGUGGCCUUAUAAGAAGAGGAGAGAGCGAGAUUUCUCUCUAUCCCUCCAUGCAUGGAUAAAGAGGUCAUGUGAGCACUCAGCAAGAUGACAACCUCCUACAAACCAUAAAAAGAGACCUCAGAAUGAAACCUACUUUGCUGGCACCUUGAUCUUGUACCACCCUCCAGAACUGUGAGAAAUAAAUUUCCGCUGCUUACGCCAUCCAGUCUAUGGUAUUUUGUUAUGGCAGCCCCAGCAGACUAAUGCAGUUAUCAACUGAGAGUGAGGUUGAGGGAGAUGACAUGGGUUUAAAGAGAAAGGAGAAAAAUUGUCUAUUAUUCUAGGAGAGAAAAGGGUAUAUUGAUGAGAGGUGUCUAGUGUGACUGUCUGUAGCAUUAAAGACUCACUGAGGUUUGUGCUCAUGAGUUUAAAAGGAGACUAGUUAGUGUGGUUUUCUUUUUUCCUUCAGGCACACAGCUGCAUGGGUGCUUGCCAGAAAUGGGUGUAAAGUUGUGUCUAUCCAGGACUAUCGUUUUGCCAGCUAUAACAAGAAGGAAGCUGUCUGCAAGCCAGGAAGAGGGCCCUCACCAAGAACUUGACCAUGCUGGCAACUCGAUCUGAACUUCUCAGCCUCCAUAACGAUUUUCCUCAUUGCAAAUUCAAGAGAAUACAGAAUUUCUUCUGCAAAUCUGUCCUUGAGAUGGGGAAAGAAAGGAAGCCUCUUAGUGCUUCGCUCAGUGUUAGUAAUUGGUCUGGGGAUUCUGGCUUGCCAUUACUCUAAGGAGGGAUAAGAUUGGAUGAAUAUGAGAAAAAAGGGAAGAAAAAUGACGGCUGAGAAGAGUUUGGAGGCAGGCUGUAGACCUCUUACCGUGUGAAGAUAACUGACCUCCUGCAAUGAAAGACCAUGGCCUUAUAAGACAUUUUCUACAGCAACACAUUCUAUGGACUUACACACAUAUUAGGACAUAGAUAUGAAUUGCAAUGCUUGUAUAAGG